GCAUCGCAAGACCAAAGUGGGGGACCUUCGGGCCUCAUGCCAUCAGAUGUGCCCAGAUGGGAUUAGCUAGUAGGUGGGGAAACGGCUCACCUAGGCGACGAUCCCUAGCUGGUCUGAGAGGAUGACCAGCCACACUGGAACUGAGACACGGUCCAGACUCCUACGGGAGGCAGCAGUGGGSAAUAUUGCACAAUGGGCGCAAGCCUGAUGCAGCCAUGCCGCGUGUGUGAAGAAGGCCUUCGGGUUGUAAAGCACUUUCAGCGGGGAGGAAGGCGUUAAGGUUAAUAACCUUUUCGAUUGACGUUACCCGCAGAAGAAGCACCGGCUAACUCCGUGCCAGCAGCCGCGGUAAUACGGGAGGGUGGAAGCGUUAAUCGGAAUUACUGGGCGUAAAGCGCACGCAGGCGGUCUUGUCAAGUCGGAUGUGAAAUCCCCGGGCUCAACCUGGGAACUGCAUUCGAAACUGGCAGGCUAGAGUCUUGUAGAGGGGGGUAGAAUUCCAGGUGUAGCGGUGAAAUGCGUAGAGAUCUGGAGGAAUACCGGUGGCGAAGGCGGCCCCCUGGCCAAAGACUGACGCUCAAGUGCGAAAGCGUUGGGGAGCAAACAGGAUUAGAUACCCUGGUAGUCCACGCUGUAAAAGAUGUCGAUUUGGAGGUUGUGCCCUUGAGGGGUUGGCUUCCGGAGCUAACGCGUUAAAUCGACCGCCUGGGGAGUACGGCCGCAAGGUUAAAACUCAAAUGAAUUGACGGGGGCCCGCACAAGCGGUGGAGCAUGUGGUUUAAUUCGAUGCAACGCGAAGAACCUUACCUGGUCUUGACAUCCACAGAACUUUCCAGAGAUGGAUUGGUGCCUUCGGGAACUGUGAGACAGGUGCUGCAUGGCUUUCGUCAGCUCGUGUUGUGAAAUGUUGGGUUAAGUCCCCGCAACGAGCGCAACCCUUAUCCUUUGUUGCCAGCGGUUAGGCCGGGAACUCAAAGGAGACUGCCAAGUGAUAAACUGGAGGAAGGUGGGGAUGACGUCAAGUCAUCAUGGCCCUUACGACCAGGCCUACACACGUUGCUACAAUGGCAUAUACAAAGAGAAGCGACCUCGCGAGAGCAAGCGGACCUCAUAAAGUAUGUCGUAGUCCGGAUUGGAGUCUGCAACUCGACUCCAUGAAGUCGGAAUCGCUAGUAAUCGUAGAUCAAAUAUGCCUACCGGUGAAUA
rnacentral:rRNA from 1 species